GGUAGAAGGCUCGCCAGCAACAUCCGAGCUCCUCUCAGAUGGAUAACUGCCUCUCUCUGCCAGACACCUCAACCGAGCUUCGACCGACAGGCCUGGACUCCUUGGCGGGUCACAGUAAUGGCCACGACUCUACUCCACUUCCUGCGGCCACUGUACUGGCCACGACUCUGCUCCACUUCCUGCGAUGGAUUUCGUACGGCUCCACC
rnacentral:lncRNA from 1 species